rnacentral:rRNA from 1 species
GUAGUCUGCAACUCGACUACAUGAAGCUGGAAUCGCUAGUAAUCGCGAAUCAGAAUGUCGCGGUGAAUACGUUCCCGGGUCUUGUACACACCGCCCGUCACACCAUGGGAGUCGGAAAUGCCCGAAGUCAGUGACCCAACCGCAAGGAGGGAGCUGCCGAAGGUGGAGCCGGUAACUGGGGUGAAGUCGUAACAAGGUAGC